AAAAUAGAAAGCCCUAAUUUCGUUCUUCUCUUACCUUUCGCCAUUGACAUGACCUUUCGUCUCUGUACUCUUCCUUCAGCAGGAGAAACUAAAGACAACAGUUACAAAAUCUCUUUCUCUUCUACUUCCCACUUUGUCUUCUAACUAUUAAUGCUCCAUUAAAGUAGGAUGGAUGAGAUCGCCGUUCAAGCAUCGGAGCAACAUCGUUUUAGAGUGACCUUGAUGUUUCAGAAACGCUUUUCUUCUAUUCUGAGCAGCGUCUCUGACGUCAGAAAUGUGGGUGAAGCUUUGUAACGAUUUACAUCUAUUCGGAUCCAACUGCUACGGAACGUUUGGAUCGAAAAAAAGAAAUUAACCAAUCCCUAACAUUUAUAAUCAACUCCACUAUCUCCCUCUCUAUUCGUAACCAACUCAACUGAUCACUUUUACCAUGUCAUUGAAGCUUGCGAUAUAGAGCUCACAAAGCCAAAGAAGUAGCAGAACUGAAAACAGAGAGGCAGAGCUAGAGAGACUUGGGAGCCUGAAGCAUGCAGAGGCAGACAUGUCCCCAGCUAAAAGUUAGUGAAGCAAAGUGGAGGCUAAUUGGUAUGUGCAUGUUGCAGAGUUUAAGUGCCUACUCGGUGUUAAAGCUAAUACCAAAGAAUGAAUACUUAUGUAACCUUUAGCUGAUCACGAGUGGAAAGAAGUUGCUUUGAUCAGGAAGAAGAUUAAUUCUCUUAACAAAGAAUUUUCAACACGCCAAUCUGUAAAGCUAUCACCAGCAGCAGCAGAAAAUCCUCAAGCUGACCUAAAAAAGGUGAAACGAGGCUCAAGAAAAGUACAUAAUCCUGUAUUGAGAAUUCUGUUCAACCUUGACUAAUCACUGAAAAUAUGAAUUUAAUAAGUUGUUUAGAGUUUUUUUAUUACACUCGGUAAAUAGCAUUACAAAGAUUUUUUUAAAUUGUUCCUUCCAGUCUAUCAAUAUACCACUCUAUCA